rnacentral:rRNA from 1 species
AUUGAACGCUGGCGGAAUGCUUUACACAUGCAAGUCGAACGGCAGCACGGGGCAACCUGGUGGCGAGUGGCGAACGGGUGAGUAAUACAUCGGAACGUGCCCGAUCGUGGGGGAUAACGAAGCGAAAGCUUUGCUAAUACCGCAUACGAUCUACGGAUGAAAGCAGGGGACCGCAAGGCCUUGCGCGAACGGAGCGGCCGAUGGCAGAUUAGGUAGUUGGUGGGAUAAAAGCUUACCAAGCCGACGAUCUGUAGCUGGUCUGAGAGGACGACCAGCCACACUGGGACUGAGACACGGCCCAGACUCCUACGGGAGGCAGCAGUGGGGAAUUUUGGACAAUGGGCGAAAGCCUGAUCCAGCCAUGCCGCGUGCAGGAUGAAGGCCUUCGGGUUGUAAACUGCUUUUGUACGGAACGAAAGACUCUGGUUAAUACCUGGAGUCCAUGACGGUACCGUAAGAAUAAGCACCGGCUAACUACGUGCCAGCAGCCGCGGUAAUA